GUGGAUUUGCAUGAUUUGCAUUUGUUCAUCAGUUCCAGGGAGAUUAAGGAAGGAAAAGGUAAGGUCCCAGCUAGUUGCCUAUCGGAUUAAGAAGGAGACACUGCUUUGGAGAGCUCACCAUGUCCUGGACUCUGCUUCUCCUGGUCCUCCUCAAUUACUGUUCAGGUAAGGAAGAGGAGACAGCACACCACAGUUUUCUGUAUUAUAUAGUCAUCAUAUGAAUAUGAUGUUUUUCUGAUAUUGCAAAGAGUAAUAUAUCAAGGGUCUUAUCCCUUUCCCUUUAUUUGUAUGUAAAGGUGUCGCUUCACAGGCAACAUUGACUCAGCCAGCUUCCCAGUCUGUGUCCCUGGGCCAAACUGUGAAAAUCUCUUGCUACCAAAGUGGUGGUCUGGAUUCCUCAUACACAUUUGACUGGUAUCAACAGAAACCUGCACAGGCUCCUCGCUUUGUGUUUGCUGGUACCAGCACCCGGGGAGAAGGGAUCCCAGAUCGGUUCACUGGCUCUGAAUCUGGGAACACUGGCUCUUUAACCAUCUCCAAAACCCAGGCUGAAGAUGAGGCCGUUUAUUACUGUGGUGCCUUGGAGGUCACUGGUGGUAGCAAGUUC